rnacentral:rRNA from 1 species
UACGUAGGGCGCAAGCGUUGUCCGGAAUUAUUGGGCGUAAAGAGCUCGUAGGCGGUCUGUCGCGUCUGCCGUGAAAACCCGAGGCUUAACCUCGUGGCUUGCGGUGGAUACGGGCAGACUAGAGGUAGGUAGGGGAGAAUGGAAUUCCUGGUGUAGCGGUGAAAUGCGCAGAUAUCAGGAGGAACACCGGUGGCGAAGGCGGGUCUCUGGGCAACAACUGACGCUGAGGAGCGAAAGCGUGGGGAGCGAACAGG